rnacentral:SRP_RNA from 1 species
GCCAGGCACGGUGGCACAUGCCUACAGUCCCAGCUACUAGGGAGGCUGAGGCUGAAGGAUCACUUGAGUUCAGGAGUUCUGGGCUGUAGUGCGCUAUGCCGAUCGGGUGUCCAUACUAAGUUCAGCAUCAUUAUGGUGACCUCCUGGGAGCUGGGGACCACCAGGUUGCCUAAGGAGGAGUGAACUGGCCAGGUCGGAAACAGAGCAGGUCAGAACUCCUGGGCUCAUCAGUAGUGGGAUCUCACCUGUGAAUCGCCACUGCACUCCAGCCUGGGCAACAUAGUGAGACCCCAUCUCU